rnacentral:lncRNA from 1 species
GAGCUCCUGUUUGCCUUCCGGAAGGAGGCACUGCUCACCAUGCGCCCGAGGCUGCUGCUGUCUGCUGCUGUUUCUGGGGUCCCACACAUCGUCCAAACAUCCUAUGAUGUGCGCUUUCUAGGAAGACUCCUGGAUUUCAUCAAUGUCUUGUCUUAUGACUUACAUGGAAGUUGGGAAAGGUUCACAGGACAUAAUAGCCCCCUCUUCUCUCUGCCUGAAGACCCCAAAUCUUCGGUAAGGAAAGGAAAGAUCUCAGGUGGUCCAGACAUCUGCCCCCCUGAGCUCAGGCCAUUGGCUCUUAGUAACAAGGAGGAGUCUGGAUUCUUCUUACCUGCAGGCAUAUGCUAUGAAUUAUUGGAGAAAGCUUGGGGCACCCUCAGAGAAGCUCAUCAUGGGGAUCCCCACCUAUGGACGUACCUUUCGCCUCCUCAAAGCCUCUAAGAAUGGGUUGCAGGCCAGAGCGAUCGGACCAGCAUCUCCAGGGAAGUACACCAAGCAAGAAGGCUUCUUGGCUUAUUUUGAGAUUUGUUCCUUUGUCUGGGGAGCGAAGAAGCACUGGAUUGAUUACCAGUAUGUCCCGUAUGCCAACAAGGGGAAAGAGUGGGUUGGCUAUGACAAUGCCAUCAGCUUCAGUUACAAG